GGAAACGCCCGGUUACAUUCCGAACCCGGAAGCUAAGCUGCGUAGCGCCGAUGGUACUGCAAGGGGGACCUUGUGGGAGAGUAGGACGCCGCCGAAC
rnacentral:rRNA from 1 species